rnacentral:lncRNA from 1 species
GGGGGGUCACCAGGAUUGGGGUCUCCAAGGUUGGGACACUCCAGGUUUGGGGAUUCCCAGGGUCAGGGAUCCCCAGGAUUGGGGUCUCCAAGGUCGGGGGGUCACCGGAAUUGGGGUCUCCAAGGUUGGGAUACUCCAGGUUUGGGGAUUCCCGGGGUCAGGGAUCCCCAGGAUUGGGGUCUCCAAGGACCUUGGAGGCCCAGGUGGGAUUUCAGUGGGUUUUUUCCCUGUCAGAAAUUCCUGGAGCUGAUCGGAGCCACCCAAGGGCAGAUGACGGUGCUGAGGUUGGUGGAGCUCCUGGAGAGGGGGAAGAGGCUCCCGAUCCCGAAGGAUUGUCCGUGUGAGGUGGGAAAGGGAGGGAGGGAAGGGAAGGGGGAGGGAAACAGGGAAUGGGGAGGGAAGGGGAAGAGUGAGAGGGGAGAGGAGGAAAAAUAGGGAAGAGAAAAAUGGGGAAGGAAGGGGGAGAGGAGAAAAACAGGAAGGAGGAAAAAUGGGAAAGAGGAAAAGGGGAGAGGGAAAGAAAAGUGGGAGGGGAAAAAGUGGGAAGAGGGAAAUUGGGAAGGGCUUCACAUUCCUGCAGGGAGGAGGAGGGAAGGGGGAAGUUGGGGGCCCUUUUCCAGGAUAUUUCCCUGUUUUCCACCCCUGUUUCCCCCCCAGAUUUACCGGCUGAUGAAGAACUGCUGGGAAGCAGAAGCUUCUUUCCGCCCCUCCUUCCACAACCUCAUCCCAAUCCUCAGGAACUUCCAGGAAAAAUACCGGGCUCAGGCCCCCUCCGUCUUCAACCUCUGCUGAGACCCCCAAAAUUCCACGGACCGGGGGGAAAACACCCCCAAAACUCCAUGGAUUGGAGGGAGACCCCCCCCAAAAAAAUGGAGUGGAAAGACACCCCUAAAAAUUCCAUGGAAGGGGAAGGACACAAAAAAAAAAUCAUGGAUGAGGGGAAAGACACUCAACAGAUUCCAUGGACUGGGGAAGAACACCCCAAAAAAUGCCCUGGAUGGGGGAAAACAGCCCCAAAAAUUCCAUGGAUUGAGGAAAGAACCCAAAAAAUUCCAAGGAGGGGGGGAAACACCCCUGGGGGGGGCACACGGGCUCUGGAUUCCCGUUUUCCCGGCAGGAUGAGGAAAUUCCGGGAUGUGGAGACGGAGCAGCACCGAGGAGGGGGGAUCCUCCCCCUCGAAAAAUUCCAGAUAUUUCCCCCCCAAAAUGCCAAACACUGUGAAUGAGACUGUGGGGACGAGGAUUUCUGGGAGCAGGACGUGGAUUUCUGGG